GGGGGUGACCGGCUUUGACGGUCUGUUCUUUGAAAGUCGUGCGACGCAGUGCACUCCUGUCCAACACUUAAAACUGACGGGAAAACAAACUUGCCAAGAACACUCUUGCAAGCGUGAAGUCGCCAUACUUCGGUAUGAAUGACUUCGCGUUCGCUUUCGCGAAAGCCUAACGGCUCUUCGCCGAGCGACGUCUCUAUCUCUCGUGUUCUCACAGCUGGAAAUAGGGGCGGAAUUAUCUGUGGGAUCGAUGCUCGGAGUCCCGGCCGGUGCAUCUAGAUAAGGGAUCGAGUAGGAAUGGUUUCGUCUGCGUUCCUCGCAUCCUGCUUUAAACCUAACGCUGACUAUGCGUCGUAGAUUCACUUUCAUAAACAUUCUCGGACCGGGGUCCAAUUCCCCGCACCUCCACUC
rnacentral:tmRNA from 1 species